rnacentral:rRNA from 1 species
CCCUUAGACGUUCUGGGCCGCACGCGCGCUACACUGACCAGUGCAACAAGCAUCCGUCCUUGGCCGACAGGCCCGGGCAAUCUUUGAACGCUGGUCGUGAUGGGGAUAGACUUUUGCAAUUUUUGGUCUUCAACGAGGAAUUCCUAGUAAACGCAAGUCAUCAACUUGCAUUGAUUACGUCCCUGCCCUUUGUACACACCGCCCGUCGCACCUGCCGAUUGAAUGGUCCGGUGAAGCCUCCGGAUUGGCGCGCACCUCGGUGCCGCCGAGAAGUUGGCUAAACCUUACCAUUUAGAGGAAGGUGAAGUCGUAACA